rnacentral:rRNA from 1 species
AUGAAAAAGCUGCUGCUUGCUGAAUGGAUCUUGGUCCGUGGCCGCAACAGCUCGUCACGCGUGGACGCCACAGCACCAGCAGCAACAGCGUCGGCCGCCGCCGUUGGCCUCUCCGGCUGUCGCGCGUGGCCGCAGCAGCAGCAGCACCCGUGUCGGCCGUCGUCGCCCGCCCCUCCGGCUGCCGCGGCUGAGCACCGGAUUCCGCCGCCCGGCUUCCCGGCCGUGAGACGCGCCCUCGCCGCCUCACUUCUAGCCCUGCUUCAAGGGAGAGCACCGCUGCCCGCCCCACCAUGGCCCUCCUCCGCCUUCCCAUCACGACCGCCUGAAAAGGAAGUUCGUUGA